GUGCUCGCUUCGGCAGCACAUAUACUAAAAUUGGAAUGAUACAGAGAAGAUUAGCAUGGACCCUACUCAAGGAUGAAACCCAAAUUCAUAAAGCGUUCCAAAAAGAA